rnacentral:misc_RNA from 1 species
AACUUUUUAAAUUUAGUUUUCCAUCCUUUACUCAACUGCAACUAGGUAAGAUGAAAUUGAAUAGAUUUACAUAACAAGUUGAGGAUAAUAUCUUGGAAAUAAUUGUAAAAUAAUAAACAAUUUUUUCUUAUUGCCUUAACGCGUGAGUACAAUAGUUAAAUUUCUGCGACAAUAAACUAGGUUUUAAAAACCUGAUCCUAGUUACACUAACGCGCUCUAGUGGCAAAAUUCUGUCCCGUCAUUUUCGUACAUUUCUAAAGCAUUGCGUGCGCUCUCCUGUUAUCCAGCUUCGUGGCUAUUGCAUUUAUUUCUCGUAUUGGUGACAACUAGUGCUGCCACCAUACGACUUAGUUAAAAAAUCUUCUUGCUAAAUGGGUUAUGCUAUUGGUCGGUCUAUUAGUAAUAAAGUCGUUGAUUGUGCACAAGUUUUUGGGGACGUAUCGACGUUUACCGGUCCUCGAUUGUUUUGUUGUUUCUUUUUAUAUUGGUGACAAGUAAUUAUUUAUUGAUAAGAAUGUACAUAUACAAUGUAUAGAAGUAAAAUAGGCUAAUAACAUCGUAAGGCAGACGACGGCCUCCUAAGUAUUAUAUAGAUUUGGAUACGUUCCAUGAACAGAUGAGCUAAAGGAAAAUAAGGAGAAAGAAGAGGUUGAUUGACAAAAGAGAUUUCUAAAAGGUUCAAGAAGAUAAUUUGAUAAAAGAAAAACAUAAAAAUAACAAAAGAUGUGGUACAGUACUCAUUGGCCUCAAAAAAAACUUCUCUUUGAUGAGAUAAAAAUAAUGAGAAGAAUAGAAGAAAGAUGUUUUAACAACGUAUCAUCAACAUAGAAAACAUAGUAUAAGAAAAAAUUAAAGUUUGAUAUCAGAAGAGGAGCGAAGCAAUUGUGUAGAUGCUUGAUAAAAGUAGGACAGGAUAAGAAGCACAAUUUUCAAAAGGAGAAUCAAGAGAUUAAAAAUUUGGAAAAGGUGGGUAGAAAGGAAUGGGUGCUGGGUUGGGCAGAAGCAGCACCAGUGGAGGUGGUCUGCUUGAGGCUCUUCCCACAGGAACGCCGCUUCAUGUAGCUAUGCUAGGUCUUGACAGCGCAGGAAAAACAACUGCCCUUUAUAGAUUAAAAUUUGAUCAAUAUUUGAAUACUGUACCGACCAUUGGUUUUAAUUGUGAAAGAAUUCGUGGUGGCAUUGGUAAAGCAAAAGGAGUAAAUUUUUUAGUUUGGGACGUAGGUGGACAGGAAAAGUUACGACCUCUGUGGAAGUCAUAUACCAGAUGCACAGACGGCAUUAUUUUUGUUGUUGAUUCUUGCGAUGCUGAAAGACUUGAAGAAGCAAAAAUGGAACUUACAAAAACAGUUAGGAGUCCUGAUAAUGCGGGUGUGCCCAUUUUAAUUCUUGCUAAUAAGCAAGAUUUAUUGGGUGCUAAAGAAGUGAGUGAAUUGGAAAAGCAACUUGGUGUCUCGGAAUUGGCUGGGAUGCCUGGUAGUUCUAGCAUAAGGGUGCAGCCUGCUUGUGCUAUUACAGGGGAAGGUUUACACGAAGGUCUGGACACUCUUUAUCAAUUGAUAUUAAAACGACGUAAAUUGGCCAAACUAAACAGGAAGAGGGCUAGGUAGGCCAGGGCUUCGGAAGACUGCACUUGCGUCUUCUGAUAUUGCCCACGGAUGAUCUCUUCUCUGAUAACGGAAAUGCCCACCGUGGGUCACUCCGUAUUAUCUUUUUCAUUCUUGUCAACUUUCUCACCCAUAUUGUUGACAGCUAAGAAGUGCUCAAUUAAAUAAAUAGAUGGCUAAAACAGCAAUAGCCCCGUCACAUCAAGUCUUACAAUCAAUUUAGUGUUGAAGAGCUGAGACUAAUCAAACUUGAUUAAGCAAAACAUCCGCACUUGUUAGACUAAGUCAUACAAGAUUGAUAGCUUCAUCUAAAGAAAAUUCUUUAUUCUAUAUAUAUAUGACUUGAAUUCAAUUCUGAUAAGAAGAGCAUACCAUCCACGUAGUUGGUGGAAUUUCAUAUUGUGGAUUAUCACUUUUUAAUUCAAGAUUUAAUAGAAGAUAUAUAUAUAUAUAUAAUAUAUCAUAUUAUAUUAUAUUAUUGUCUUCUAUUCGUUUAUAUAAAGUGUGAAUAAUGGUUUUACAUCUUAGAACCUUAUUGUAGUGCCACUUAGUCUGGAAGUGAUCAAAUUUGAAAAUGACAAAUCAUGAAAUACUAAUUUUGUUAAAGAAGAAGAGUAGUAUUACUAGAUCAGACUUUUAAAAAUUUUGGACUUAUCAUCGUGGUGAGAGACAUCACUGUUAACGGGACAAUAACUAAGAUUGAAGUGUCUAUUCAUGUGAACAUCCCAAUUGGAGUUUUGGAUUCACAAUAAACAUAUGGAGUAUUAGUACAUAUACUAUUAUUCCAAAAUCAGUUAUAAAUGUGGCAUGCAUUCUACUGGAGAAAGAAUAUAGUGUUUCAUCUGUUUCCAUUCAAACAUCGUACCUUCACUUAAGAGUGAUUGUCUAUAAGAAUCUUGGAUCUUAACUCUGAUUGGAAAAGUAUGAUUGUUCAAUGCGCCGUAUUAACCUCCAGGUCAUACAAUGACUUAGUAUGCAUCAUAAUGCAAAUAAAUAGUAUGCUAGCACUGAAAGAGGCAGUUACAAUUAGAGACUGUCUCAUUCUCAGGGCCUUUAUAAUAAUUCAGACCUCUUAUAUGAUAAUAAGAGGAUAACAUCAAGAAACUAGAUGCUCUCGAAUUACAUGAGUUUUAAGCGCAAACAAUAAGCAAGCACUGUUUGCACUUGUCAUUGCUAUAAUACCAAUAAUGUUACUGACAGUUAUCUAUGAAAAUGGGAGAUUAAGCAAAUUCAUAAGUUUAUAUGAAUACAGCGUAGCUUAUUAUAUUUAGCCAACAGAAAUACCUGUUGGCUAAGUUUAAGUGUACGACUUUUUUGGCCUUCAUAGAUUGCAGCAUUAGUCUGUAUAAUUGUCAUUUCAUUACCCAAGACAAAAGUUGGCAAUCAUUUGAUAUUAAAUACGGGACUUAUCGAUGUAGCUUCAGCCCCUGAAUUAACAUGAGUUAAUCUAGUGAGAUAUUUGUCUACUGUGAAAUUGUAUACAAAUGUUCCCAAUUUGUAAUAUACACUUUGGUGGAAAGCUUGUUUUCCCAUAUACUGGCAUUUGAAUCUGUAUAUUUGUGCUCAUUUUGUGCAUGUUUAGUGUUGAGUACAUACAUAAAAUCUCUUGUCAAUUUGUUUAAAUUUAUAAACGAUAUAUUAAUACUCGCUAAAGUGCUAUGUUUUAAUAGUGUGAAAUGUAGGAUUACAAAUUUCCCACAAAGUGUGUGAUUAAAAGAGUGAAAGACUGAUCAUUUAAUUUGAGACAGUAUAUCAACAAAACAACAGAGAAUGGAUUAUUAAGAAAAUGACAAGGAGUUGAUGUGAAAGGUCAGUUUAGAAAUUGUUUAAGAUUCUUUUUAAUAGUCCAUAAUAGCUAAUAGGUCGAUUCGCUGAGAUCAAUCAAUGUUAUGGAUGAAAACAUUCGAUGGGUAAUUUAAUGUCUGGUAGAGUACAAGUUAGAAAAUUGAAUAUAUUCUACGUACGUCUGUCUAAUCAGUGAGAAUUUUACCUCAUAUCAAUAAUGUGGUGUGAACUGCGAUUUUCAAAUUAUACAUAAUUUUAAAUACAAAAAAUCAGCACAUAAAAGAAACGUAAAACAAUACCUUGAAAAAAAUGUAAAUUUAUGUAAAAGCUGCAUAUUAUUGAUUUGAUGUUACUAUCGGCAGCUUUAUCAUAGAUUCAUUGAACCCUUAAAAAAAAGAAAACAAUCUGCGCUAAUACAUUACUCUUUAAAAAUCAAGUGCUCAGCCAUCGGCCUAAGAGAUGGAUGAAUGUGCUUCCUAAUGACAAAAAUCAUUAUUUAUAUAGUAGAAAAAGCUUUAGUAUAAUCGCAUAAUUACCCACGAGGUGACUUGCAUAAGUUUAGAAAUUCUGAUGAUAAUCGUAUUUCUGCGAUUUUUUGCACCUUUAUACCUUGAAGAAAAGAAUUUAAUUAUUCCCUUUGUAUGGGUGUUCUGAACUUAUUAUAGAUGGAAUUGUAAGUAGUAAAGAGAUCAAUUUUUUCCAACACAUGUAUGACGCAUUAACUUGUAUUAAAAUACAUAAUUACAUAUUAUUAAUUA